GAGACACCCUGGUCCAACUUGCAAGCAUCAAUGCCAGUAAACUGAGGUUCAGAGAUGUUAAGAAGCCUGCUGACAGGCACGUAGCGAAGUCCAGGCGAAGGCCCAGUUCUCCUGCAGUGAAGGCCCGUCUCUCCUUGCCGAUGCUCACGUUCCCCGGUGUCCACCCGAAGUCCCGGCUGGAGGUGCUCUCGGCCUUAUGCACACCUGGUGUUUCGGGGGAUGACCCACCAUGUAAUUCAUUCUAGGACUUCAUCUUUGUUUCAGCUCAUUGGGUUUCCCUCUCUGCCUUGAUACUGACUGAUGCAGACCCUACAGCUGCCAAACAGACUGCACAAGGAACUUGCAGGAGUCAGAACUGAGAAAAUGGAGCCAGUCUAUAAAGUGAAUACUCAUGAACACUGGAGUGUAUUUUCUGCCACGUGGAUGGAAGAACAAAGACAAUUGCCUAUAGAAGAAACAAGGAGAUACCAGAGGGGAGGAGAGAUGGGAGAUGGUGAGGGUCCUAGUAACCUCACCACUCCAAGUUUACAAGCCUGUGGAGUUGUGGUGCACUCAGGUUCUUGGCUUCCAUUAGAUACUACCAUGUUCUUGUAAUGCAACCUCCUCCCUUUCUUAUUUUACAUAAACCUGUGCCCAUUUUCUGUUGCUUGCA